rnacentral:rRNA from 1 species
GGGGGGGGGGGGGGGGGGGCCGGGGGGGGGGGGGGGGAGGGAGGCCGUGGGGGCGAGUGGCGCCCGGGUGCGUCAGUCGUGGGGCCCUGCCCUUGGGGGCGGGAUAACUCCGCGGAAGGGGGGGUAAUACCGGCUAAUGUCUUCGGCCCAAAGAAUUAUCGCCUUUGGAUGGGCCCGCGUUGGAUUAGCUAGUUGGUAGUGUAAAGGCCGACCAAGGCGACGAUCCAUAGCUGGUCUGAGGGGAUGAUCAGGCACACUGGGACUGAGACACGGCCCAGACUCCUACGGGAGGCAGCAGUGGGGAAUAUUGGACAAUGGGCGAAAGCCUGAUCCAGCAAUGCCGCGUGAGUGAUGAAGGCCUUAGGGUUGUAAAGCUCUUUUACCCGGGAUGAUAAUGACAGUACCGGGAGAAUAAGCUCCGGCUAACUCCGUG